rnacentral:rRNA from 1 species
AACGAACGCUGGCGGCAUGCCUAACACAUGCAAGUCGAACGAGACCUUCGGGUCUAGUGGCGCACGGGUGCGUAACGCGUGGGAACCUGCCCUUAGGCUCGGAAUAACUCUCCGAAAGGGGUGCUAAUACCGGAUAAUGUCCUCGGACCAAAGAUUCAUCGUGUUUGGAUGGGCCGGCGUUGGAUUAGCCAGUUGGUAGGGUAAAAGCCUACCAAGGCGACGAUCCAUAGCUGGUCAGAGAGGAUGAUCAGCCACACUGGGACUGAGACACGGCCCAGACUCCUACAGGAGGCAGCAGUGGGGAAUAUUGGAAAAUGGGCGGAAGCCUGAUCCAGCAAUGCCGCGUGAGUGAUGAAGGCCUUAGGGUUGUAAAGCUCUUUUACCCGGGAUGAUAAUGACAGUACCGGGAGAAUAAGCUCCGGCUAACUCCGUG